rnacentral:rRNA from 1 species
CCUACGGGAGGCAGCAGUAGGGAAUCUUCCACAAUGACGCAAGUCUGAUGGAGCAACGCCGCGUGAGUGAAGAAGGUUUUCGGAUCGUAAAGCUCUGUUGUUGGUGAAGAAAGAUAGUGAGAGUAACUGCUCAUUAUUUGCCGGUAAUCAACCAGAAAGUCACGGCUAACUACGUGCCAGCAGCCGCGGUAAU